rnacentral:ncRNA from 1 species
UAUAGUCGGAGCGCCGAUGGUUCCCGCGCUCCGCGGGAUAAAUGAAGGGAACACGGUGAGGGAUUUCCCAAUUCCGUGACUGCCCCCGCAACUGUAAGCGGCGCACAUCCCUCUCUUGGUCACUGGAACGAGGGCUCCAGACGACCGAGAGGAUGGAUGGAGCCGCAAAGUCAGGAGACCUGCCGCGGCGCCAACCUUGAA